CGUGCGCGUUUUCUGAUGGCUGUUGUGAGGUCUGCGAGGGUCUUCGUCUCGUUAAGGAUGCACCGUGCAGACUUCAUGGCGAGGUGGCCUUCCACGAGAGGCGCCGAGCAUGCGGUUUGCUUUGGACUCUGUGAUGGUGGCCCUUCAGAAUGGAGCCUGGAUUCUUGGUCUGUGGAGAUCUGAGGAGACUUGGCAUGGCAUGAGGAGGAGUUGGUCCUGUGCUGCUCCAGGAAGCUGCUGUGUGGACAGGCGCCAUGUCACCCGCCCAGUCUGCAGCCUGAAGGCCUCCACUUGACGACACGUUUGAAGUGAAGUCGGCCGAGUGUGGAGUGAACUGGGACCCCUCUGGAGAUGGCAGGUGGCAUAACACGCUGGCAGUAUGGACACCUGUGUGGCAUCACAACACGCUGGCAGUACGGACACGUGGGUGGCAUCACAACACGCUGGCAGUAUGGACACCUGGGUGGCAUCAUAACAUGCUGGCAGUACGGACACCUGGGUGACUGCGAGCAGAAUGUCCAGGUGGUCUGCAGAUGGACCCUGUGGAGUGAGGUGCCACUUCCCUGGUGGUGGCUUCUUGAUUGGUUUAAAUAAAAGCUUUUUUUGUGUUUGACUCA